CCUACGGGGGCAGCAGUGAGGAAUAUUGGUCAAUGGACGAGAGUCUGAACCAGCCAAGUAGCGUGAAGGAUGACUGCCCUAUGGGAUGUAAACUUCUUUUAUAUGGGAAUAAAAUGUUCCACGUGUGGGAUUUUGUAUGUACCAUAUGAAUAAGGAUCGGCUAACUCCGUGCCAGCAGCCGCGGUAAUACGGAGGAUCCAAGCGUUAUCCGGAUUUAUUGGGUUUAAAGGGAGCGUAGGCGGAUUGAUAAGUUAGAGGUGAAAUGUCAGGGCUCAACUCGGGAACUGCCUCUAAUCCUGUUGAUC
rnacentral:rRNA from 1 species